GGCCCUAAAUGUUUGUAAUCAUAGACGAGUCUCAUAUUGAACUCUUGUAGCGCUUUUCUUUUAUACCAUGAUGCACUUCUUUUAUACCAUGCUCGGUGGGAAUCUCUCCUGAAAACCGCUACCAGCAAUCCUUGAUCAUGUGUCGGAAUUGCACUUUCCCCCCACCUUUUGCAGCCGAGAAUUUGGAUCAAUCGAGAGAUCCUGAAUCGUGGGUUCUCGAAAGGUCCCCAGCUUGUUGCAUUAGCACGUUAUUUUCCUUGAGACAUCGGAGUAACACGACCCGCCUACCAGGACCACUCGGACAAAAGCUCAUUGCUAUUUGCUCGAUCUCUUCCUAAUUUCCUUCCCAUCCUGACUGUCCAAGUCCAUGAUGAUCCUAUGGACAGUCUCAGCAAUGGCUUGUCUCAACACUAAUUCUUGUAUCGUCUUUUUCACUCCCCAACCAAUAUCACACUUCCGCUCGACCUGCUUAUCAUUGGGAUCUUGAUCCAAUAAGAAUGGGAAGACGAGCAUUCAACUGAAGAGGGGUUCAGCACCCGUGAUGCAUCUAGAACCCUCCAACCGAAGAGUGGUUCUGCACCUUCGACUGAUCAGACCGGGCACCACUAGACCCCUAUUGCUGCAAACGCCUUCUUUGACCCAAGCACCGGUGUCCCCACUCGCCCGCAAGAACGUACUCCCCCCUUGCGCACUCCCACCGGGUCACUCGAGACCGAUAGGAAACUCGCCAGAAAAAUAAAGAGGACUCGCCAGAAAAAUAAACAGGACGGAGGCUUCCGGUUGAGAGUUUGGUCACCAGAAGGAUUUUGAGAUGCCAAUAGGGAGGAGUUAAGUUUACCAACAUAGAUUCACAGAAGUUACCAAUGUGUUAAAAUCACUGAAUUUUAUACGAAAUUACCAAUUCUCUUUUAGUCCAGGUAGCAAUUUUAUUUAGAUUGCUUCAAAGGCACUUAUUGUUCCUAUAAGUUAAUGACCUGUACUUGCAUAAUUUUCCAACUGGGUAAAGUGACCAACUUUUAUAUGAAAUUAUCGCCACUUUGGAAAUAUAAUGACCAUUUCAUUGAUUUACCAAUAUUUAUCUUGCGGAGCUUAAGUUACUAACUCUUUUCUCAAACUAUUAUCUCUUAUUUCAAUCAGUUAUCAACAUUUAUUUGGUUGUUUUCAAUUGCUAACUAUUCCAAUAAUUUACCAACAAUCUUCCAAAAAAUCUUCCAAAAUUUUUCCAAAGCAUUAUAAAUCUUCCAAAAUAAAUUAGAAAGUAACUAAUAGUCAUAUGAAAUUAUUUGUUCUUACUUUAGUCUUCUUACUAAUGUUUAUUUCAUUGUUUCAAAAGCACCAAUUGUUGCGAUAACUUUACCAAUACCUCUUUAAGAGUUCACCGACAGGUUAAAGUUACCACUAUAAGAAAUCAUCAGCCCUUUUCAUCAUUACUAAAACUUCAACUAAUUCAUAUUAGUUUGCCAAGUUUAAGUUACCAAGUUUUACAUAAAUAUGAAUUAUUUGUGGUACUGACUCCUAUACAUAAACUUUUAAUUCUUAUCUGGUUACUGUAACAUGUUUGUAGCCGAUUCAAUAAUAUAUUGGUAAAUUAUUUAAUUAAUUAAUAAAUUGUCAGUUUAGAAUUUAUAAUUUCGUAGAAAAACUAAUAACUUUAACACGUCGUUAAUAUGUGAAAAGAGAUGUUGAUAAAUUUUAGGAACAAUUUGUAAAUUGAAAAAAAUCAAAUAGUUGUGGUACUUUUUUAAAAAGUGGCAGGAAAAUGUUGACAUGUGUGAUGGACCAAACAAGUUGCCAACCAAGUUUUUGACCAACACUCUCACGAAUCUAAUGGUACGGAAAAUGAUAUUCUAAUUUUUAACGAACAAAACACCAUAAUUGUUUUUCUUCCUUAAAUCAAUAGAAAACUUAGGACGCAAAACUUUAUUUCAAAAAUUGAUUUUUCUAAUUUUAUUCCUUAGAGGAGAUUUUCAGCAAAAAUACGAAUUUAAUAAUGAUACAAAAUUUAUGGUCUCGGAAUAGAAAUUCAUUUCACAAUGACACACAAUUUCUCUCUCUCGAGCAGCCGGCGAGCGGUGGGUUGGUAGUUGGCUAAUAGUGAGGGCGAGCAAUGAGAAUUUUAUUUAUUUAUCAUAUUUUUUCUAGAAAUAGGGAAGUAAACAAUUUUUCCUUCUCAUUUAUGUUUCAAAUCCAUUUCUAAACUAAAAUUUUAUUUCGGAAAUAAAAAAAUGAAAUUCGUUACCAAUGGAUUUAUAUUUCAAACUUGUUUUCAGAAACAAAAAAAUAAAACAUAAUUUAGAGAACAUAAUGGUUAUUAUGCACAACCUUACUGUCAUAUGUUAAAAACGAUUGACAUUUGAAACUUGCUUUCAUGUACAUAAAAUAUACAAAUUACGUACUAAAAUAGAUCAACGAGUACAUUCUUACCUAGAAACUUAUGAAUUAUUAACCAAAUAGGAUUUGCUCUAUUUAAUAAGUUACAAACAACACUAAGAAAUUAUUUCUCGCUGUCAAGUAUAAAAACUUCACGGAGGUUGCAAUUGAUAGGCCGGCAAAAACAUUCUAUCGCCAAAAUCAUGAGGGAAGCAAAAUUUAAGGGUGUGAUGCUCGUACAGUAAGCUUUAACCCUCACAAAAUUGUCAGCGAACAAUAACAGGCAAUGUUCAACAAGAGAUUGAACUAUUGAUGUACUAACUACUAAUGUCAUGAAUUUUUGCAGCAUCACGCGAAAUGUCGCUAAUGAAGGCUCCGAUAUUAGUCCCGGACGACCCAUCCGGUCCAAUUGCGUGGCGGCAUAACUCUCGAAUGCCUUCGACCCUCCUCCUCAGUUCUCUGCUCUCACCGUCACCUGAAUCCAUGAACUUGCGCACUAGCCCUGCGAUGUCGCCCUCACCUUCGCCCACCCUCCACCCAACCUUCCAAUCGUCCACCACAAGUUUGCAAUUGAGACCUUGGUCCAUGGCUAUUGGGUACGCCAGGAAUGGAAGCCCUGCAUAGACACCCUCCUGAAUUGAGUUCCAGCCGCAGUGGGUCCAGAAUCCCCCGACCGAUGGAUGCGUCAAUGCCCUCAACUGGUCGCACCACGGCACCACGAUCCCCAUGUCGCCGUCAGGCAACAGUUCCUUCAGUCUAGAAGCCUCAUGAAGCGCCACCCACAAGAACCGAACAUUACUGUCGCGCAACCCCACCGCGAUCUCAUCCAUUUUGGAGCUUGAGACCGAAAGGAAGCUGCCUAGGGACAGGUAUAAAACAGAGCUGCCUGGCUGGCGGUCCAGCCAAUUUAGUAUGUAAUUCGAGUCGCUGUUUGAGCGAGGAUUGCCUUCGAGCUCAAAGUACGGGAUGGAUGGACCGAUGGUAUAGAUAGGAAAUGACAGGCUCGGCUUCAGGGCGUCGACUGUCUGAGAUUCGAACUCGUACACAGAAGAAAGCAACAGGUACUGCGCUCGAGGGACCCAAUUCAACAUUAGGCGGACUUUCUGCAUAACACUUCCAUCGACCAACAACGGCGAACGUGUUUGAGGAAUCUCAGGAGCAGAAUCCUCCUUUUCGUCCCCUUUUUUUGUGACAAAAAAGGUAAUUACUUAGUAAAUAAUGUGAAAUUGUAUCGAAUUGUGCAUUGAAACAGCAAUAACAACAGCUAAUUGAUUUGCGAUUUUUUGUGCAGAAGAUUUAUCGCAUUAUAGGCAAGGCUCAGAAAUCUGACUAGUUUUAAAGCACGAUGGCUGACCUGACAAAUUCUGUGGUAAAUGGCCAUUCUGCUCAUGAAGUUGUAAUUGGUAUAAGAAGGAGAAAUUUGAGGCCGCAGUUGUCCAAAAUGAGGCCACCGGAAUGUGACACGAAAUAGAGGAGAAAGAGGAAUUUUACUGUGUAUUCAUUGAUAUGUAUACAAGCACAUUAAUUACAUUUAUAGUGCAGGAAUGGAAGAGAAUAAAAGGAAAUAAUAUACAAAGAAUUUUAAAUUUCCUAUUUACUAAAACUUCCUAUUCACUAAAUCAAUCAAUCUACAGACAGAAUCAAUCACGAUCCCCAACACUCCCCCUCAAGCUAUGGCCUAUAUAUGUCGAGGACACCCAACUUGCUCAGUAGAUAACUAUGCUGUCUCUGACAUAAUGGCUUAGUGAAGAUGUCUGCAGGUUGAUCCAUUGUUCCAAUACCCUUUGUUACAAGGAUUCCUUCUUUGAUCUUAUCCCGUGUGAAGUGGCAAUCAACUUCUAUAUGUUUCGUCCUUUCGUGAAAAACAGGAUUUGCUGCCAAUUUGAGUGCAGCAUCGUUGUCACAAAAUAAUUCAGUUGGUCCACUAACCUGUAAACCGAGAUCUGAGAGUAAUCCUCGAAUCCAAACCACUUCACAAGUAGUCUUGGCCAUGGCUCGAUAUUCUGAUUCAGCCGAUGAUAAGGAGACAGUUGAUUGCUUCUUUGUCUUCCACGAGAUUAGUGACUUUCCCAAUUUGAUGCAGAAACCAGUAAUUGAUCUUCUGGUCAUUGGACAAGUAGCAUAAUCUGUAUCACAGAAUGCUGUCAUCUUCAUGUUGCAGUCACGAGAUAAGAAAAUUCCAAGUCCUGGACAUCCCUUCAAGUAUUUCACAACUUUUAAGGCUGCGUCCAUAUGAGAUUGUUUUGGACUAUGCAUGAAUUGACUGAGUAUCUGCACUGCAUAACAUAUAUCAGGUCUUGUUAUAGUAAGAUAUAUUAAUUUACCAACAAGUCGUUGAUAUGCUGACGGAUCUUUGAGCACUGGAUCCUCAACAGAUGAAGAAGAAUUCAGAUCAUAUUCAUGAGUAGUCAACUUGGCAUUUUGCUCAGCUGGUAUGAUAGCUAGUUUGCAUCCGAAUAAUCCAGCUUCAGAAACGAUUUCGAGGAUGAACUUUCUCUGACUGAGAUUGAUACCUUUGUCAGAUCGAGCAAUUUCAAUCCCAAGAAAAUAUUUGGGCGGUCCCAAAUCCUUGAUAUGGAAAGUAGAGUGCAGAUAUUCUUUAAAUCUUGCAACAUGAGAGUCAUUGUUUCCCAUAACAAGUAUAUCAUCAACAUAUAUCAGCAAAUAGAUUGAUGAAUUACCUUCACUCCAUGUAAACAGUGCAUAAUCAUGCUUAGAGUGCCGAAAUCCCGCAUUAGUCAAUGCAGUAGUGAACUUAGCGUACCACUGUCUAGAUGCUUGUUUCAAUCCGUACAGGGAUUUGCGUAGACGACAUACUUGAGACUCCCCCUGUCUGCAUAAUCCCUGUGGAAGCUCCAUAUAGAUUUCUUCAUCUAGAUCGCCAUGAAGGAAGGCAUUGUUAACAUCCAUCUGAUGUAAAGACUAAUUUCUGAUGGCUGCAAUGGACAAGAAGGAACGGACGGUGACUUCCUUGGCAACAGGUGAGAAAGUUUCAUGAUAAUCGAAGCCUUCUCUUUGAGUAAAUCCUUUAGCCACUAGCCGAGCUUUAUAUUUUUCAACUGAACCAUUUGCCCGAAACUUGAUUUUAUAGACCCAUUUACAUCCAAUGGGUUUCCGGUGCUGGGGAAGAGGAACAAUGUCCCAAGUAUGAUUCUCGAUCAGGGCAGUAAGUUCUGAUUCCAUGGCGUGCUGCCAUCUUGGAUCAUGAGAUGCUUCAUGGAAAGAAGAAGGUUCGUUUUCUUCCGAGAGACGGCUAACGCAACACAUAUGUUCUGGUGACAGUCGAUUAAAAGACACAUAUGAAGAGACAGGAUACUUCGUACCUGGAGAACGUGAUGCAGAACAAAUGUAAUCCUUAGUCCAUGUGGGUGGACGAGUUUGUCGUCCGGAACGGCGAGGUUGCUCAGCUGCUAUUGUUUCAGGUGCUGAGAAAGGCUCAGAAUUAGUUUCUGAGGGAGCCGAGACAAAAGGAGGAUCCUCAGGUAAUUGCGAAGGUAAGUCGUCUUCGGAAAUGAUAGCAUUCCUUGGAGCAGAAAUUGUUGGUUCUGGAGCAACGAACAGAUAUUGAGGAGCCAUAGAUAAAUCUUCCUCACAUAAAAAAGGCCUAUGACUUGGGGAUGAUGAUGUAGAAGAUGAAGAUAUCAUAUCUUUAAAAGGAAAAAUAUCCUCGUGAAAGAUGACAUCUCUGCUGAUGAAGAAAUGUCCCGUAGAAAUCUCCAUAACUCGAUAACCUUUUUGAAGAGAUGGAUAUCCCAUGAAUAUGCAUGUUGUGACCCGAGGGCCCAUCUUAUCCAAAGGACCGACAUUUGCCACAUAACGCAGACAACCAAAUACUCGAAGAUGAUCAUUUCGAGACUGUUUAUUAUAUAGCAGUUCAAAAGGAGUUUUCCCAUCCAGAAUGCGAGUUGGCAUGCGAUUAAUCAAAUAGGCAGCAGUGACCACACAAUCUCCCCAAAAACCUUCAGGAAUAAAGGCUUGAUAUUUUAAUGCACGUGCUACUUCUAAGAGAUGCCUGUGCUUACGCUCUACAAUUCCAUUUUGUUGUGGUGUGUAGGUGCAAGAACUCUCAUGAAGUAUCCCUUGAGAAGAUAGAAAUUUGGUACAAUCAAAGGUGAAAAAUUCACGCCCAUUAUCUGUACGGAUUCUUUGCACAGAUUGAUUGAAUUGAUUUUUAACCAAGGAAACAAAGUUCGACAUAUGAGUAAAUGUUUGACUCUUGGAUUGCAUUAGAUAUACCCAAGUGGCCCUUGUAUAAUCAUCGACAAUCGUGAGAAAAAAACGAGAUCCAUCACGAUGAGAAGUAUGAUAAGGUCCCCAGAUAUCUAUAUGAAGUAAAGAAAAUUUUCUAUCUGCUCGAGAUGUACUUUUCGGAAAGGACGUUCAAGAUUGUUUAGCCAAGGGACAUAUUGGGCAUUUAGGAUGAGGAAAACAUGCACUAUGACCCAAUCUUUGAUGCAAAAGAAUACUUUUAUUUCGACUGAUAGCAUUACAAGAAAUGCCUUUAUUUAAUAAUUCUACAUCUCUAGGGGAAUCAAUCCAGUAGUAUAAUCCUUGUGCAACACUACCCAAGCCCAUCAGUGUGCCAGUCGAACGGUCCUGAAAGAAACAAUUGUCGGAGCUGAAUAUUGCAUGACAAGAACUAUCUAUGCAAACUUUUGAGACAGAAAGUAGGUUGAAUUCAAAAUCAGGAAUGUAUAAGACAUUUCUGAGGACAAAAUGGGGACCAAGGUGAACAGUGCCGGUCUUGGUAACUUGAGUGACAUUUCCAUUUGGAAGACGCACUGAUAUGGGAAAUUCUGAUUGUCUAUCAACAUGGGAAAAAAAUUGCUCACUACAAAUUAUGUGGUCACUAGCCCCCGUAUCGAUUAUCCAUGCAUUCAUAGAAAAAGAAUUCUCCUCAUGAAAUAAAGUACCUGAGAAUCCUGCACUUUUGUCGCCCAUCUUCAAUUGAUUCAAAACUUGCAUGAUAUUCUGAUACUAGUCUUCAGUAAUUGUCUGUUGUACCCCAUCUAUCCUUUGUGUUGAGACCUGAUAAGCUGACGGUUCUUUUUCUUUUCUAUUUUUGUCAGUAGGCUUUCCGUGCAAUUUCCAGCACGUAUCAACAGUAUGAUGUGGGCGUUUGCAAUAUUCACAAUAUCUAUUUUUGAAUUUAAUAUUUUGCCCACUAACCUUUCCUGAUGAUGUGGCGCCACGUGGAUCGUAGGAUCCUUUAAAAGGAGCUGACGUGGCACCAUAAUAGCCUUCGGAUCCAUUCGAGCUGACGGAAGAUCUGUGGCCGUUCAUUCCAUCUCGCUGAUCUGAGCCGUCCAUCAGCCUGCCUGAAUUGAAGCCGUUGGAUCUACCGUGCAAAUCUGGGCCGUUCAUUCGAAAAAAAGGGGGGUUAGGGUUUCCGUCGGGUGUCUUCUUCGCCACAGCCGCAUUACCCAUUUUUGGGUAUCCCGAGCGUGCGGCUGUGCUGCUUCCUCCGGCCACCGCCUCUCGUGAGCCCAUGCCGGACGAAAAAACUGCAAGGCUCAUCCCCUCUCCUCCUCGAGCGUGUUCGGCCGCGGCGAGGCGCUGACUUUCUUCUUGGACGGCGAGCUGAUAGAUGCGUCCGAGCGGCGGCGAUGGUUCCAUGGCGAGAAUCUGAGAUCGGAAGGCCGAGUAAGAGUCGUUAAGGAUGAGUAAGAAUCGUGUGCUCUUUUCCCUUUCCCGCAUGUCUCUGUACUGCCUUAGUGUGGCCUCGGGUCCCUGGAGACGCUCCUCGGCCGACUCCAACUCGUUCCACAGAGAGGAGAGACGGUUGAAGCAAGCAGUAACUGAGAGGUUCCCUUGCUUCAAUUCCGUCAGGCUUUGCGUGAUGCUGAAGAGCCGUGCUCGGUCGAGCCGGCCGUACAUCUCCUUGAUGCUGUCCCAGAUCUGCUUGGAGUCUUCGGUGGGUGGCAGUCCAGCGGCAACGUCGGGAGCGAGCGUGUUGCCGAUCCAAGUGCGAACCAACUGGUUGCACUUUCGCUAGAGACGCUGGAGGCGUUCGUCGGUCGGGAACGGGACGGCUCCGUCGAGGAAGCCGUCCUUGUCCUUCGUCACCAGAGCCCGCCGGAGAUCACGAGCCCACGACGAGUAAGUUUCCGGUCAAGUAAGUUGGUUGUUGAUCAAGCGUAGUUCGGGGCCAUCCGCCGGUGAUGUGUAAAGUGGGUUGCCGGGUUCAAGCCGGCCGCCGCCGAUGACCGGAAAAAGGGGCGACAUAUAUCUGGGUUGAAAUGUCGGGUAGGGAUUCGUCCCUUGACCCGGCAUGGAUCCGGAUUCCUGACCCAGCGGCGUGGAUUCGGGUUGAGAUCUCGGGUAGGGAUUCGUCCCUUGACCCGGGACUUGACCCGGGAUAGCUCCGUAUCCUUGACCCGGCACAGACGUGAAUCCUUGGCCCAAGUUCAUCUGGCCCGAUGCUUUAGUGGGGCCUGGCAUUGGUCCAUAUGGGUACUGGGACCACAUCUGUCCUGGCCCAGAAGCCCACUGAUACCAAUUAAUUGGUGGGAAAUUCGUGGGCCAUUGCGUUGGGCCGAGGAUCUGGCCCAUCGUAGGAGCCAAUCUUCCCGAAAGAGUUUCUUCUGAAGAUCUUUCUUCUUCAGAGGAUUUGAGGUGGGUGUUCCCUCUGUUGAAGAGCCCUCAAUAUUCUUUGUCACAGUACUCAAAAAAGAGUUGAAUUCCUAACCGGUUUGCUGGUCUGUUUUGCAGGUGGGAAUCGUGCAACAACAGCCCAGAAGAUGAAGCGGUGGCAAUUCAAAAAAUGCGGAAGCUAACCAGGAGUAUCUGCUCUGAUACCAUGACACGAAAUAGAGGAGAAAGAGGAAUUUUACUGUGUAUUCAUUGAUCUGUAUACAAGCACAUUAAUUACAUUUAUAGUGCAGGAAUGGAAGAGAAUAAAAUGAAAUAAUAUACAAAGAAUUUUAAAUUUCCUAUUUACUAAAACUUCCUAUUCACUAAAUCAAUCAAUCUACAGAUAGAAUCAAUCACGACCUCCAACAGAAUGUUCCUCUGGUUCCCAACGUGGACCGCCCAGGACAGGAACGUGUCGGCCACAAUGAGGGUCGGCGGAGGGCAGAGCCGAUCGAGCACCUCCUUGAACGGAGCUUCCAUCUUCAUGGAGACGGCCUCCACGAACUCCGAGAAGUGCUGAGCACGGACCCUCUCAGACGGGAGCACGUUCGGGAUGGUGGCGAAGGAUACAUUGCUCAGCUUCGAGUCAGAGCCUACGAGGCCGAGCCACUCCUCGGUGAGGACAAGGGUGACGGUGACGUGCGGGGCUCGGGAGGCCAGGAUCUUGUACAGGUUCAUCACAGGAUUGAUGUGGCCGCGUCCGGGAUACAGCAUCGCCACCAUGUGGCAGGUCGAUGCUUGGCGGUCCAUUUGAGCGACUAGCCCCGUGGGCAGCGGCUAUGACAAGGAGCCGAGCGAGAGACGGAAGCGAUCAAAUUUAGGGCGAAUGCCGAGAAUCAUGGGGAAACGAUUUGAUAAAGUGAAGUGAUGGCGUCACGCCUUACCAAAUUAAUUUGACCGAUCGGUGCAAAACGAAAAUAUGGAGCUUAACACGACUUUUGUGGUGUGUAUGACUCUUUCGCUUGUGGCUGCGGACAUGAAAGGCAGCAAUUUUUCAACGUGGGUCCCCAAAAUUUGCAUUUAUGUCGUGCUCAUUCGAGGCGGUCGACCAUGGUGUUUAAUAAACUUUACCGAAUGAGUCACACAUAGACCCGUCAAAUGGGUGGGUCAGAUCAGAUUUGAGUUGAAUCAAAAAUAGAUCGACCCCUAUUUGACCAAUUUAACCUGUUUUGACCCACAUUCAUGUAAUGUAAAUCUAGUGAUCCAUAUUCGACCCGAUUCAUACCCAACACAUUCUCGACCCAACCCGUAUUGCUAAAACCUAUUAAUAUUCUAGGAAAACCCACACCUACUAUAUGCUAAUUGGAUUAAAACUUCAAAUUAAAUUAAAAAUAGUAAAUAAAAUAAAAUUAAAAAUUAAAAAAAAACCUAUUAAUUGAAAUAUUUAUAAAGAAUUACACCAUGCACAUGCUUCUCUUGUUUGAAGUGAACAUAUUAUUAAGUAACUGAAAACUGUAACAUGAAAAAUCUUUAACUAAAUCUUUAAAAGCUCAUUUUUAUGAUAUUUUUUAUAGAUAAAAAAAAGUAUUGCUAAAACACUUUUAUGCAAUACAAAAUUAAUGGGAAAUUUUUAUAAUUCUUUUAAAAAUAUUUUAAAAAUCAAAUUUUUAUUUUUAAUUUAAAAAUAUAUAAUUAUUUUUUAAUUGAAAGAAUAUAUAUAUUUUUAUUUUUUAAAAUAUUAUUUUUUAUUUUUUAUUUUUUAAAAUAUAACUUUUAAUUAUUAUUUUUUCUCUUUUCUCUUUUCUUCUUUUUUAGUCGGCUGCUAGUAGGGGUGUGCAACGGAAACCGCCCGAACCGGGACCGGACCGGACCGGACCGGACCGGCCGGUUUUGGGCGGUUCCCACGGUCGGCGGUCCGGUUCCCUGUUCCAAGGUGGGAACCGGACCAACCGGACCGACCAGACCGGACUAAAUUUUUUUAUAUAUAAUUUAUAUACAUAUAAUAUAUAAACACGUAUAAUAUAUGAAUAUUAUAUAUGAAACUUGUUGCAAUCGGAAUUGCAAUUAAGGUAAUAAUCUCUUAUGUGGCCAAGAGACCACCAAAGCUCUUAGAAAACUUAUUUGUUAGUUUUAUCUUCUACUCGAUGUGGGAUAAGGCUCUAGAAGUUCCUCAUGCUCACUCUCUCUCUCUUGCUCCCCUCACUUGCAAAUGACAAGGCACUUCAAGCCUCAAAGAGUCCGACAUCGACUAAACAUUUAAAGCAUAGAAGAUAGAUUGUCUAUAAAACCUAAGCCAAGCACAAAUUUUACUCAAAUUGUUCAUGGCUUUUGUGCUUAAAAUUAAGAGUGAAACAAAUAAAUUAUAAUUAAUAUUCACGCAAGUGAAGUUUGAAUAUUUUGCACGUGAAAACACGUGUGAGUAAUUUUAUUAAAUCGCCCGGGAACCGAAUUGGAUUGAUCGGUCCGAAGCAUGGUCGUUCUUUAAUGAAUGGUCAUUAUUUAGUGAAAAAAGAAAGUGUUGAUCCUAUUGAACCGAACCGGACCGGACCGGAACCGAUGGUCUGGUCCACGGUUCCCAAAAUUGGGAACCGGUUUUCCCGGUCCUGACGAGCUUAAGCUCGCCACUUGAGCCUCGCUCAAUGUUGGCGGGGCCUCGACCUCGCCAGAUCGGCAAGAUCGAGCCUUGCUAGUCAUUAGGCAAGCUUGGCCUCACCAGAUCUAGCAAGACUUGAGCUCACCUAACACCGGCAAGCUUGAGUCUCGCUAGAUUCGAUGAGGCUCGAUCUUGCCGAUCUAGCGAGGUCGAGGCCCUGCCCAACGCUAGCGAGCUUGAGUCUCGCUAGAUUCGGCGAGGCUCGAGCCUUGCCAAUCGUCUGCGAGGCCUUGACCUUGCCAGAUCAACGAGAUUGAGCCUUGCCAGACAUCAAGUGAGGCUGGAUCUCGUCGAUCUGACGAGGUCGAGGCCCCGCCUGACACUAGCAAGCUCGAGUCUCGCCAAAUCUAACGAGGCUCAAGCCUCACAAGUUGUUGGCGACCACGAGCUCACAUGCCAACGAGCUCAAGCCUCACUUGGCCUGUCACCGGCCACUGGCUAAGGAAGGACAAAAAUGAAAAAAAUAAAUAAAGAAAAUUAAAAGAAAAUUAAAAUAUGAAAAAUAAUUAUAAUUUCAAUUUUUGAUAAAAGAAUAUUUUUAUAAAGUUAAAGAGGGAAAGAUUGUGUGGGGCUUGGGUUGGAAAUUUAUAAAUGGGUUCGAAGGUUCUAACCCACUUGAUAUUUUAAAUGGGUUGAAAAUGGGUCACAAAUUCUGAUCCAUUUUCAACUCAUUUAAAUCAUACUCACUUUUUUUACCCAUUUUUAGUUGGUUUUUAAAAGCCUCUAACUCAUAUACAACUCAUAUAAAUAAAAUGUGAGUCCAAAAAUGGAUCCAUGACCCAUUUUGACACCUCUAGUCACAUGUUGUUCCUUACAUAUAGACCCGCCAAACGGGUGGAUCGAAUCGAGUUUAAACUGGAUCAUAAAUGGUACGAUCCACAUAGAUCAAAAUCUGUUUGGACUUAUUUUCACCCGACCCAACCCAUACUGUUCACACUUACAUAUUUAACGCAAUCUACAAAAAGUCAUAGAGUGAGUAAGUACAAGAUCCAAUGAAGAUGAGAGAAACUAAAGAUAAAGGGAGAACCUAGUGUAGGGAUGAUAUUGGAAUGAAAAGUUGCCAACAUUCAGUUUUUCUUUGGUGUGAUAUUGUUUUUUUUUUUUUUUUUGGUAAAGGUAAGAAUAUAUUAAGGAAAAGCUAGCUAUACAAAAAGUCAGUGCCAAAAAUCUUACACUCAUAGUGCAAAAAGAAGAAUGAUUGGAAGGGAGCCGAUGUAAAAGAACUAGAACAAACACAACAACACCAACCGAAACAACCGGUAAACACACCACGGAAAACGCCAAAGAUCAAAGAAGAUCAACUCAAUAACGGUAGCCACAACACCAUCCAUAAGUCCAUAACGACUCACCAUCAGUCCGUAUGCUCAGUAAGGCCACUGACGAUGACAGAGGGGUCAAAGAUCCAUCCUCGUUGGAGCCUUCUAUUCCUGGGGUUGUCCGGUACUUUAUUGAAGGUGAGGGCUUUGUCUUUCACAACUUUGAUGAAAUGAUUCUUCAAAGUUGCAACCUCAAGGGCUUCACCUCGGAAGAUGAUGCUAUUCCUUUUCUUCCAUAUAAGAUGACAUAAGGCCCCAAAAGAAAAACAUGCGAUAGAGUGAAAGAAAUCAUUACCUGAUAGAAAUUUCAAUGCCCAAAGGAGAUUUUCUACCCGAGUUCUGUUACGCCAUGGAAUAUUACAUCUUUCGGCCCAAAAGAAAGCAAGUGUUGCAGGAACAUGACAAUCAAAGAAGAGAUGAUCAAUAGAGUCUAGGAUGAGAUUGCAAAAAGCACAUAAUUCAAAAUCAAUCCUUCCAAUGGAAAUGAGAAAAGCUUGAGUAGGCAAUAUGUUCUUAAUGAUCAGCCAGAGGUUGAAUUGAAACCUUAGGGCUAUAGCAUUAUUCUAGGUAAAACAAGCCGAAACCCGAUUCUUUUUGGUCCUUAUCGCCUUCUAAGAUGAGGCUACCGAAAAAGCACCAUCAGAAGACUCGCGCCAAUAGAAACGAUCAGGGGUCCAAGAGAGAACUGGCAAGGCAAACUCCCAAGACUCCAAAAGAGUCCUGAAAACACGGCCCUCAAGCGAAAGUAAAUCUGCCACUGUUGCUUGUCUAGUAAGUCCCGAGGUAGCAAUAAGAGAGUUUGGGAAAAGGAGGCUCCAAGGGCCUUCCUAAUGCCAAUUGUCAUACCAAAGCGAGAUCGAAUGACCAUCACCCAGUUUCCAAAAAAAGGAAGCCCUAAAGUCUCUUCUCAAUUGGAGAAUUUUCCUCCAAGCCUAAGAACAUACGGUGGGAAUGGAGGAAACCCAAAAGUGAUCCUUUUUUAACAAAUUGGUGUGGAUCCACCGACACCAAAGGGAUUCUUUGUCAGUAAACAAAACUCAAAUAUACUUAAACAUGGCAGCUUUAUUACAGUCCUUUAAUCUGCGAAUACCCAAACCACCUUCCUCCUUAGGAACACAAACAUCUUCCCAAGAAAACUUUUGCACCCCUCCCCCCUCCCGGCCUAGGGAUGGGCCUUUCCAGAGGACUUGUUUCAAAAUACAUUCAAUACGAUCAAUAACCGAAGCAAGAAGAGUAAACACAUUGGCCCAGAAAACCUGAAUAGAGUGGAGUACUUUUGAUAGCCUAAAUUUUCAGAAUUUGUUUUCGAUUAAAUAAAUCUGGCAUUUCAUUGAUGCAACUAUAGUAUUAUUCUCUUAGCUGAUCACUCACGAGACAACUGGACUAUCUGGGGAAACAAUUAAGGAAUCUAAAUGUAAUUGGACUUGAGAAUUUGAUUAGGAAUCGACUGCUUGACUGUGUUGGUCUGCAAGGGUCAUUACGGCACCGUCAAAGAUCAAUCAGAGAUUAGAGAUAGGUCGAUUCAGCUGAGAUAUGUGAUCAGAGUGUGGGUGAUUCCACUUGAUUGCAAAAUUCUCAUCGAUCAAUACAAAAUUGAUUUUUUGUCGUUUUGGUACCUAGUGCUUGUAAUUAAAAUCUCGAGAUUUUCAUGACAAUUGAGAGUUGCCAAUGUAUCAAAGAUGUAUAAUUUGACUCAAGAUAAAUCAAUCACGGGUCAAUUGCAUAAAAAAUUCCUAAAAGUGACCCGAUAGCCUAGGUCGCGCUAAAAUCGCAUCGGAGUAAAAUUAACCGAGAAUUUGAACCCGAUUUUAGAAAUUGAAAGUUCUGUGCUGUCACGAGCAAUUUUAGGAACGUCUAUUCAUCCUCUGAAAUUUUUUUAGAGAUUCCGGAAUUUUUAUGGAAAAUCGGUUUGGAUGUUGCGGAAAAUUAGCGGAAACUCAGAUGGGCUAAAUCGAUGGAAAUUGGGACUUCUAAACUAAGCCUGUGAGUGUCGGGGAUUUAUAGAAAAUUGUUUGGGAUUUUUCUUCAUCGAAAUCGGACCUCAAUUUGAGAAAUUGAGUAAGGAAAUUGAAUUUAAUUGAGUGAAAUUUGGUUUUGGACAAAGGGCUGGAAAUUUUUGCAUCAAAAUUUAAUUUAAUGGAAAAUGCAACUUAAGAAAGAAUUAGGGGGACAAUGCAUUUAAUUAAGUGGAUGAAGCUUGGACUUUUAUAACAUUUUAAUCAUUUCCUUGACCAAUUGGCCUCAUCCAUUCCCCUUCUUCGUGCGUCUUCAUCGUCGACCCCCUCUGCUUUUGUCUUUCACUUUCAUUUUCCUUCACAUUUCUUUACUUCAGCUCUCAAUUUCCCUUCAUUUCUGCCGCUCCCAUCCACUCUCUCUCUCUUAGAAUCUUCUCUACCAAUUUCCCAAGCCCACGCCCAUGAUCUCUCUCUCUCUCUCUCUCUCUCUCUCUCUCUCUCUCUCUCUCUCUGUGCUGAAUUUUUCUCUCACGGCCAGCAUCUACUUUCAUUCCCUUUUAUUUUGUUGAACGAACCUGCAACUCCACCGCUUCAUCAUUUUCGUUUCUUCUUUGCUCUCACCGCCACAUGUCCACGGAUUACUUCUCCUCAGUCGAACCAGCAAACCGAGAUUGCUCCCUUCUGCUAAUUGUUGACCAGCAACGUCCCACUUCGGCCACGAAUCCAGUCGCCCUCCUGCCAGCAGCCGCGCGUCCCAACCUUCAUCCAUCUUCGUCUGCUUCUCCUCCACCGAUUUGCACGUGGACAGCGAAGUCAGCCCAGUCCAUUCUCGUCCAUUCAGCCGCGAGCAAUUGAGCCCAGCGGCCCAUCUCCAGCGAAGUCCAGCAACGCCAAUCCACGCUUGAGUAGCCCAGCGUUUCUGUAGAUUUCAGCCCACCUUCCUUUAUUCUUUGCUCCACUUGGCCGUGUAGUUCAUUGACCGGCCCAUCCUUAGCCCGCUCAGUCACUCCACGAAGCCAGUUCAGCAGCCCAACAAAGUCCAGCCCACAAGUGCAGCAAGCCCAUCUCAGCCAAAGCCCAGCAAUUUGAAGUCUAUCAAACGCCCAGGUUUCGGCCCAGUCCAGCGAAGCCUAGUGAAAUCAUAAGCUCGCGAGUUUGAGGCCCAAGCCCAGUGUUUGCAACAAGCCUGCCCUGAGUGUCCGUCGACGCCGCCGAAAAUUUGGAUUUCGGCCACCGUCGCGUCGUCUUUGCGGUGAACCGGUUUCUACAAUAAACUAGUGAGUUUAUGCAUUAAACCCUUCUUAGUAGGCUAAUGAUGUAUAAGGGGUGUUUAGUUUAAUUUAAUUAGGAAUUAGGUGGUUAGUUAGAUUAAAUUAGUGAUUUAAUUAGUUAAUUGUGCAUGUUAUGCAGUUAGAUUAAAUUAAUCAAGGCCUAGAUAGGAUGUAUUAUUUAUCUAGAAAGGUUCUAAGUUCGUAUUGGUUUUUAAUUUAGUGAUUUUGGCCUAGGUUAGUAUUUUUAGAAUUUAAAUUGAUUUAUUUAGUUAAUUUUAGUAAUUAUUUAAUUAUUAAAUAUUUUCCAAAAAUUAGGCCGGGAUAGCUAGUGAUUAGAAUUUCAUGCGGAUUGCAAUGGUGUCAUUAAAUUCUAUAAUUAAGUGUUAAAUUGUGCAAAUUGAGUGCUCAUUUGAUUUUUGGUAUUUAAUUCCAAAAAUUGUGAAUUUCCAAUAUUUAUUUAGAAAAUCCCGGGUGUCGGAUUUUGACACCAAAAAUAGUUUUAUGUACUAUAUAAAACAGUGAGAUUUUAAAAAUGAAUGGUAUCAUAUUUUAUGGGUCGAGUUGAUCGUGUACCCACACAUGACUAUUUUAUUGGGUAUUUCUAAUACGAAGAAAACAAACCAAGAUUACCAUUUUAAUAGAGGCAUUUGAAUGCAAGGCACGGUAUCCUGGGCCCAGAUUGAAUUGUCGUGUGUUGGUUACGAGAAACUGUCCCGAGCUGUUGAGAUGGAUGUUACCCCUAUAUGGGACGCCCCUAGACAACGGAAAGUUGAUCGCAGUAGAUUAUGGACCCUAUGCUCCUUCGAGAAAGCCGUCGAUAUGGUGACGUGCUAUGCUCAAUGGGGUGAGACGAUGCCUGUCAAUGCCAGAAAACCGCCAAACAAAGAGUAGGCUGUGCUAUAUGCUGAGAUCAAAACUAGGAACGCAUGAUUAAUUGAGUGUGGCAUUCCAGUUGUUGGAACUUAUUUGUUGCUCAUGCUCUCAUGUUGUCUAUGAUAUAAAUUGUAUUAACCUGCAGGGUGGAUCUGAAAUGAGGUAAGUCUCCUUAAUUGUGUGAUUGCAUGAUUAGGAUGCUUCUAAGCGUAUUUCCCUCCUAAUCAGGGUUUAGCGUGUAAACUUGCUGAGAUUUAUAUGUCACCCCGUCGUGGGAUUAAAUUUUUUAGGGUCAUCGAGUGGAGGACCUGAAGCCGAGAGGAGGUAACCUGAAGUGUAGGUCGGUUAGGACCGCUUUUUUUUGGCAAGAUAAUUUUAGUAGUCUUUUUGGUCAUAGACCUUGUACAUGACUUUAUGUGAAUAUAAAGGCAUGUUUGUUUGUAAAAUUAUUGUCCUGCUUUUCUAUCCUAAGAUGAUUACUGUCAGGGGAUUUAUUUUCGCUUCCUCAUCUGCAAUAUAAAGAAAGGGUCGGCGACUUGUUCUGGGAAGUCACAAAUAUUAUCGAUCAGAGAGGAAUGGACGCAUGCUCAAGAAUCGGGAUGUGACAGUACUGAUCUGAUCAACUGGAGUUUUCCAGUAAACGAAAGAAACCGCUAAGCCCAAGUCUAAACUCUGGCUGUGAUCUGGUCAAUAAGUGCAAUACAGUUCGUUUUACCAAGCCUUGAAGAAAUAAUUGAGACUCCUAGAUAGCAUACUGGAAGCUUCCCUUCCUGAAAACCCAAGGUCAGAAGAAUAUGCCUUUGCAAAGUAGGAGAGCCUCCCACCAUAAAAACUUCACUCUUGUUUUUAUUAGGCAAUAAGCCACUCCAAGAGGAAAAGAUGUCAAGUCCUCUCUUGAGUAUGGUCACUAAGCCAAGUAUUUUUUUGGUGUGAUAUUGUUGGUAUUCCUUGGUUGUGAGAAAGAAAAACUUACACAACCAACGAGGGGUGGGUAGGGCUUGCGGGUAUAAGCCCUCAUUAGCAAAAACACCCCUUGGCUACCACCUAACAGCCUACACCAGGUUCUACCAAAGAGCCAACUGAAUGUGUAGGUAAGCACGAGAUCUAGUGAAGGCGAGAGAGAUUGAAGAAAUAGUCGAAUGAAUUGGUUCUAAUUAAAUUAUAAACUCAUUUAUGGCCCCUUUUACCUAGCUGGAUAACCUAUUUAACAUCUAUAUAAACUAAAAAAUGGGCUUAUGAUUCAUUCUGAUGGGUCUACUUACAUAAUAGGUAUGACUAACAUGUUUGAUUUUCCCCUAACAUUUUCUUUUUUCGUUUUUUGCUUGAAAGAAUACUGUGAAGAUAGAAUUCAAUUCAGGAUGAUCAAAGAAACACAUACUGGUCGAGAGCCACAAUCGGCACACUUCUAUCAUGAGUUGGAUUUGCACUUUCCUUGAGCCUUUUUGCGGCCAAGCAUUCGGAUCAAUGGAGAGAUCCCAAAUCGCGAGUACUCGAGAGUCUGCGGAUUCUUGCAUUAGCACAUUAUUUUCUUCGAGAUGUCGCCAAUGAAAGCAUUGAUGUCAGAGUGAGACAACCCGCCAUUCAGGAUUGCUUGGCCACAAGCCUAUUGAAGCUCGCUUGCCAUCUUCCUGAUUGCCUUCCCAUCCUCACUGUCCAAGUCCAUGAACCUCUGGACAAUCUCAACAAUGGGGAGAAGUACACUAUCAGUGUCAUAAGUUGUGUACGGCGCUCACUUUGGUGUCAAAAGUUUAUGUUAGAUCACUUAAGUGCCAAAUCAGAGAAAAAACGAUCACUUUGGUGCCACCGGCGAGAGAUUCCGUUCAAAAUGAUUACGUGGCUUUUCUAUUUUAAAAAAAAAAAUCGAGGAGCCUUUUAAACGACGUCAUUUUCCAUCCUCCUUAAGAAAAUGACAUCGUUUUGCCGUCAAAUAUGGAUGUCCUCACAAAAACGACGCCACACAGCUCAUUUGGGAUUGAAAUUAGGGUUUUUUUUUGUUCAAUCCUCGCCAACCUAGCUUGCUCAGCCAUCGUUGCUUGGCCACCGUGCUCCGCCACCGUCGCUCGGCCACCAUCGCUUAGCCUCCAUCAUAGUUGCUCGACUAGGUGAGCAAGGAGAGGUUGAGGUUGUUUCUCGGGCAAGAAGUGAUGGGAAAAUAGGAGGCAAGGGCGGAGGAGGAGGAGGAAGAAGGGGGAUCGAAGGUGCAAAGAGAGAGAGAAGACGAGGAGUGCGAGGUGUUCUUCGGGGAAGAAGACGACGCCGCCAUGCCCUCUCUCUCUCUCUCUCUCUCUCUCUCUCUCUCUCUCUCUCUCUCUCUCUCUCGAUUUGAGGAUUUAGGGUUUCGACUUGGGAGAAAACACCAAAUGACGUUGUUUUGUGGUUUACAUGCUAAUUGUACUCUUCGGUGAGCCACAUUAGCAUCUAAAAUUAAUGAAAAAACUGCCACGUCAGAUUUCCGGCCAACCCGAUCAGAGUUGACACUCAAAUGAUCAUUUUUCAAAAUUUUUGGCACUUAAGUGAUCUAACGGAAACUUUUUGCAUCAAAGUGAGCGCCGUACACAAAUAAUGACAUUGAUAGUAUACUUAUCCCCUCAGCAAUGGCUUGUCUCGGCACCAAUUCGUCCCUUAACUUCUUCACCCUCCAACCAAUCUUCUAGUCCUGCUAAAAAAUCAGGAAGGCAAGCAUCGGGACGCUGGCAAAGAUAGCUUCCAGAGUGGAGUUCAACCUGCAGUGCGUCCAAAACCCUCCGACUGCAAAGUGGUUCAGCACCUUCAAUUGAUCACACCAAGGCACCACCAGACCCCUGUCGCUGCAGAAACCGUCUUUGACCCAAGAAUCACCGUCUCAGCUCACCCACAGGAACCGAACUCCGCUUCUGCGCACUCCUGUUGUGAGCUCCUCCAUUUGGUCGCUCGAGACUGAUAGGAAACUCCCCAGAGAAAAGUACAGGACGGAGGCUUCCGGUUGAGAGUCUAGCCACUAAAGGUAAUCGGGACGGUCAUUUGGAGACGCCGACAGGGAGGAUUUAGCUUUGAGUUCCAUGUAAGGUAUUAAAGGUCCGACGGUGUAAAUAGGGAGCGGAAGUUCGGCUUUGAGAGCAUCGACAGCACGGGCUUCGAGCUUGUAAAAGGUGGUUAAGAUUAUAUACUGAGCUUUCGACAUCCAGGAGAAGCAUUCCAGUGCUCUGUCCAAAGUCGCUCGGCCUUUGCCUUCAAAGAACGUCGGAAGAUCAACCAAACGGGUCGGUGGAAGUCCUGGUAUGUAGUCUACGAGCUCAUCUCCCCGUUCUGUUGUACAAAACACAUCAACAAUAUCCAUCAAUUAAUUCACAAAAUCAGAAAGUAUAAAAUUGAAAAAAGAAAAAAAGAAAAAAGGCUUCUCCAAUCAGACCGCACCUGCCAGAUCAAUGGGGAAAUGAUUGUUCUGAGCAAGGAGGUCAAAGUGAUGGAACACCGAGAACACCAAGACCGACAUGGUCCAGAACGAUCCCACCUGGAUCUUCCUCUUGUUCCCGAUCCGGACUGCCCAGAAAAGGUACGUGUCGGCCAAGAUCGUGGUCACUAGCGGCUCGAGCCGGUCGAGAAGUUGCUCUACAGGAGCCUCCAUCUUCGUCAUCACCGCUUCUAUGAACAUAGGGAAGUUCUCCGCACGGUCUCGCUCGGACGGUAUGACAUUGGGUAUGGAGGCAAACUGGACUGCAUCAGGCUUCGGCUCAGACCCGAUGAACCCAAGCCACUCCUCCGUCACCUUUGUGGUGACGACAACAUCGGUCGCCGUCGAUGCGAGGAGCUUGCAGAAGUUCAUCAUGGGGUUUAUAUGGCCUCUUCCCGGAUAUGGAAUUGCCAUCACAUGUGCCAUCCUCGCCGCCCCGGCCUGUGACCGUGAGAGAUCCAUUGACUCAACGGCUCAAGGAACUCCUAGUGGAAAAAGGAAAGAGAAGAAAAGAGGAGAUGGAUUCAACUGGGACCAGGUUAAUCAGUGUUCGCGGAUAGGAGCAGGAUUUAGACUGACUGGUGAUAACAAAUUCAUGACGGUUGUCUCUUCUUUCAAAUUUAGGUCUUGUAACCAAAGCGAAAAAGGCAAAUAAAGAAAGAGUCAAUCUUUCAAUAGGCACCAGAAUUGCGCCAUCACAUUAUCAAAGGAGGCUAAAUGGGUGGAAUGCGCUAUUAUUCAAUGUUCCGCUCUCAUUUCUCAGUUGACACUUCGGCAUAGGGACGACCCUGUAUUUGUCACGAUGUCUUCCACCAGACGCAAUCAUGCGGCAUAGCGUGCACAGUAGGGCCGAGGGAUAGUGUAGUCAAAGUAGAGCUCCUCACAUGAAGUGCAAAGCUCCCGCAGAUUUGACUAAUUGACAGCUAUAAACGUUUUAAUGCAGUGCUGAUUUAGAGAGAGCUUUGCUUUACUGGUUUUCGAGCUUGUAUUGAUGCAAACCACUGCGCGCGAAAGCAUCGAUGCUUCAAUAGGAGGAUCCGCCCUCCAGGAGGGUAUUUCACGUUGCCCCUUGAAAUUCCUUCACGAGGGAAGAAAUCACUAGACGCCUUCCUUCUUCUUGAUUCACCAACCGAUCCUCCGAUCCUCCACGAUCAGCUGGCGGUUCAAGACUUCAUGCUCAGGCCUGCAACGAUUUCAUCCAUCUGGCCUUUUGAUGCGGGGCGGAGGCUUCCCUGCAGCACAUACAACACCUUGCGCUGUGAGUCGAGCCAUCACCAGUAAUUCAGGUCAUGCUUGAGAUUGGAUAGAGGUAAAUCAUUACUCUGCUCACCAGUUACAGUAAAUUAGACUUUGGUUUAAUGAUAACUGGUUUUUAGACAAAACUGGCGCCCUCUGUCUCUGCGUAAGCAGUCGCCUCUAUGCGGGAAUUCCAAUUCAAAUGAACUAAACUGAAAGCACUUCAAGCUUGCCAUCUUUAAAGGUGGGUCAUCUUGCCCAUUGAUACACUAGAACUUCAAUCUGGAAAAAUUUUCGAUGCUGCAGAAGCUACUGAUCAUUCAUUCUCUGAUCUGAAUGGCCCAUUGCUAAGUUUGAGGAACUAUAGUCUCGUUUAGAUUUUUGCCUAAUAAAUUAUGCUAAUCACGGUGAGGAAACAGGAGAUUCGACAGUGUUGUGUGUUUUAAGGCCGAACAACCAUUGUAUUACCGGAGACACUGUGAUUUCAGUUUCAGAACUCAUUGAUGUAACGAUGGUAAGACAAAGCGGAGACUGAGCUUACCAGGCGAAUCAACCGGGGAGUGACCGUGUCGUUGAUGGAAGUGAUGGAAGGAAGAGAAACUCGACCCCCCUGCUGACCAGAACGAUGCCACUGGAAUAUUCCUCCGGUUCCCCGCGCGGAGGACCCAGCUCAGGAAAGUGUCGGCCAUGAUGACGGUCGGUGAGGGCCGGAGCCGAUCCAGCAGCACCUCGAACGGUCCCCCCAUCUUGGCGAAAACGGCGUCGGUGAAUUCGGAGUAUUGCUGAGCCAGACCAGUUCUGAGGGGAGCACGUUCGGGACGGUGGCAAAGGAUAGGUUGGUAGGCGAGCCACUCUUCGGUGACAACGAAGGUGAUGAUGAUGUCCGGGACUCUGGAGGACAGAAUCUUGCACAGGUUCAUCAUGGGGAUUAUGUGGCCUCGUCCCGGAUAUGGCAUCGCCACUAUGUGGAGGCUGCCGGCGCCGGCAGCGGCCACAGUCAAGGUUGAUGGCAACGGAGGUUCCAUUUUCUUCCAGUUGUGGCAGCCGUCCAACCGGUGGAUUUUUCUUGGAGUUCAAUUGAGGCUGUAGAGUUAGGUAGGUUUGACUCGUCGAUGGGCGAGAGGGGGAGGUUAAAAUAAUGGAGCUAGCGAGCACCCUUCUCCUCGGCCACGCGGUUGUCGUUUCGUCGUUAUGGAGGAGCGACAGAUUAUAUCAUAGCAAUUUCUCUUGGAUUUUGCAGUCUAACUAAGAGACAAUAUACUUAGAUAUUAUUGAUCAUUCUUUGAUUUAAAGGAUCAUCUCAUCUCAAUUGAAAAUGUAAAUACUUUUUUGAGCCAAAAUCAAGCUCCGUAGUGCUCUUAUAUUGUCUUUUCUUUCUUUUUCUUUUUCUUUUUUUCAUAUCAAAGUAAUAUGCGAGUUUGAUCAUUGGGCUUUUAACAUUCAUAAUUCAAGAUUUUGAUUUGGAGUAUCAAUUUCUAUUCAUAAAAUAAUUGUGUAUUCUCAAUGACUAUCGCAAUACGGUCGCGUUGACUAGUCCAUUUCAAGAUAGAGUAAGGUUAGGCGCAAUAAAUUUUGAAAUCCGUUGGUAAUUUAAACUUUGCUCGAUUACUUUAUUUAAAAUACAAGUUUAUAAGUUACUAAUAAUCUGGGGAGUAUCAACAGUUAUUCAGCCAUUAAUGUUUCAUUAGUUACCAGCAAUCUCGUGUAAGUACUAGCAGUGAUCAAUUGUCCUAAGUUAUCAGCUAUUUAUAUAACUUAUAAUUAUUUACAUGCAUGGUUCACCUAUAUAUCGAGUUAAGCAAUUGAAUGGGAAAUCCCCAACUUUUUUACCAUAUAUAAUUUACUCUAUUCAAAAAGUUAUAAACAAUAUUCAGAAAUCAAAUUUCCCUGUCAUUAUUUUACAUCGGGGAGACUGUAAUUCAUGAUAAUGACUAGACAAUCCCAUUCUAUUGCCAAAAUCAUGAGAGAAGCAAAAUUAAAGGGCGCGAUACUCAUGAAGUAAACUUUAACACGCAAAAUUUACAGCAAAUUAUAACUCCAGCUAUGCUUAACGAGAGAUUGAAGUACUAAUUAAUGUCUUGAAUGUUCACGGUAGUGCUCGAAAUGUCCCAAUGAAGGUGCAGAUAUUAGUCUCGGACGAUCCGUCCGGUCCGAUCGCAUGGUGGCACAACUCCUGAAGGUGUUUGGCCCUCCUCCUCACUUCCAUGCUCUCGCUGUCGCCUAGAUCCAUGAACUUGCGUACUAGCCCAGCGAUGUCGUGUUUGCCGACCCUCCACCCAACCUUCCAAUCGUCCACGAUGAUCUUGCAAUUGUAAUCUUGGUCCAUGGCUACUGGGUACGCCAGGAAAGGAAGCCCCGCGUAGAUGCCCUCUUGGAUCGAGUUCCAUCCACAGUGAGUCCAGAACCCCCCGACCGAGGGAUGCGUCAGUACCCUCAGCUGGUCGCACCACGGCACCACGAUCCCAGAGUCGCCUCCGGGCAACAGCUCCUUCAGCCUGGAUGCCUCAUCUCGCGCCACCCACAAGAACCUUUCAUUACUGUCGCGCAACCCUGCUGCAAUCUCGUCCAUUUUGGAACUCGAGACUGAAACGAGGCUGCCUAGGGACACGAACAAAACCGAGCUACCCAGCUGGCGGUCCAGCCACUUCGUUAUGUAGUCCGAGUCGCUGUUCGAGCUUGGAUUUUCUUGCAGCUCAAAGUACGGGAUGGAUGGACCGAUAGUGUAGAUAGGAAUCGACAGGCUCGGUUUCAGAGCGUUGACGGUCUGAGAUUCGAUCUCGUACACAGAAGAAAGCAACAGGUACUGUGUUCGAUGGACCCAGUCGACUAUCGAGCGCAUUUUCUGCAUCAUACGUUCGCUCCUUCCACCAAUCAAGUCCGUCAAACGUGUUGGAGGAAUCCCAGGAAUGUAAUCCACCAUGUCAUUCCCCUUUUCUGUGACAGAAAAGACGGUGGUUACUCAUUAGAUAAUCUGAAAAUGGACAUCGGAUGCUGAAAUUUUUGUGCAUCAAAACAGCAAGAACCACAGGAACUUGAUUUGCGAUUUGGUACGCAGAAAUAGUAUGGGUGCAGACUUCAAUUUCUUUGGUCGAAGGUACAUACAUCUUUUCCAGAGUCACAAAAUUUAGGUGUGCCUGAUAGGCAAGGUACGGAAGUUUGACAAGUUUUGAUUCUGAAGUAGAUUUAGAACGGCGGCUGACCUGACGAGUUCUGUGGUAAAUGGCCAUGCUGCUCAAGAAGUUGGAAGUGGUACAAGAAGGAGAAGUUUGAGGCCGCAAUAGGCCAAAACGAGGCCACCGGAAUGUUCCUCCGGUUCCCAACGUGGACUGGCCAGUUCAGGAACAUGUCGGCCACCAGAAGGGUCGGUGGGGGGCGGAGCUGGUCGAGCACCUUCUCAAACGGGGCUUCCAUCUUCGUGUAGACGGCCUCGGUGAACUCAGAGGAGAGCUGAGUCCGGACCCGCUCAGAUGGGAGCACGUUGGGGAUGGUGCAAAGGAUAUGUUGCUCGGCUUAUGGUCAGAGCCGAUGAAGCCUAGCCCCACUCCUCGGUCAGGACGAUUGUGACGGUCACGUGCGGGGCUCGGGAGGCUAGGAUCUUGCACAGGUUCAUCAGAGGGUUGAUGUGCCCUAGUGCGGGGAAAGGCAUCGCCACCACAUGGCAGGUCGGUGCUUGGCGGUCCAUCCGAUCGACUAGGCAGCGGGAGGUGAUGGUGAGUGCGUGGUCGUUAGUUCCGACGAGCCUCGGCGGAUCAAAUCGGCAAGCGACCGAGUGAAGGGACGGGAUCGAUUGACUACAGCGCAAAUUCCGAGCACUGAUGGGAAAUGACUUGAGUGGGUAAUAGAUGAGAUAUGAGGUCUGAUGCAAGUUACGCCUUACCAAAUAAAUUUAUCUUGUCGUGUGUUUUUACUACUCCAACUCGUGAUGGUGACAGCCACCAAAAAUUCAACGAGUUCCCCAAAAUUCCAAGUGUUGUUUGCUUGUGGUUUUGAAGCACCUUCGUGGUGGUUGAGUCAUGGGGUUGAAAACCGUUAGGGAGUAGUUAAGGUGGGUUUGAUAAAACUUCUGUUUGGAAUAAUUUUUUAAUAAAAAUAAUUUUUUUUAUUUUUGUUCUCAAAAAUAAUUUUUUAGUAUAAGAACGCGUUUAAUAACUAUACAAAAUUUAUAUUCUAAAAAAAAAUGUGUUUGGUAAAAUUAUAUAAUUUUGUUGUUAAUUUUAAUUUUUUAAUAUUUUUUUAUUUUUCUUUUCUCUCGUUCUUCCUCUUUGUGGUGGAUCGCCGGUGGCUAACAAUCGGUUGGGUAAGGUUCGGCGAGCUUACCAGAGCCUCGCUUGACCAACGGCAAGGCUUGAUCUCGCCAAAAUUGGGCGAGGCUGAGUCUCGCCGAUGGCCUCGGUGGCGAGGCGAGCCUCACCUGGGCUGGGCGAGCUCAAGCUCACCCAGAUCUAGCAAGGCCGAGCUUGCUCAGCCAAAAGGAAUAAAAAAAAAAAAAAAGAGAAGAAAAAAAAGAGGAUAGAUAAAAAUUGUUUCCAGAAAUUAUUCUCGAGAACAAAAAGUUACUUUUUUUCUAUUUUUUGUUUUUGUUUCAAAUUUGUUCCCAAGAACAAAAAAAUAGAUUUUUUGUUCCCAGGAAUAAAAUUUUUACCAAAUAUAUUUAUGUUCUUUUUUUUCCCUGAAACAAAAAAAAAAAAAAAAAUUUUGUUCCGAGAAACAUAAACAAAAAUUUCUGUUCUGUUCCGAGAAACAGAAACACAAACAUGCCCUAAAUAUUUGUAAUCAUAGACGAGUCUGUGUUGAAUUCUUGUAGCGCACUUCUUUUAUACCGUGCUCGGUGGGAAACUCUUCUGCAAACCGCUACCAACAAUCCUUGAUCGUGCGUCAGAAUUGCACUUUCCCCCCGCCUUUUGCAGCCGAGAAUUUGGAUCAAUCGAGAGAUCCUGAAUCGUGGGUUCUCGAAAGGUCCCCAGCUUGUUGCAUUAGUACGUUAUUUUCCUUGAGACGUUGGAGUAACACGACCUGCCUAUCAGGACCACUCGGACAAAAGCUCGUUGCAAUUUGCUCGCCCUCUUCCUGAUUUCCUUCCCGUCCUAACUGUCCAAGUCCAUGAUGAUCCUAUGGACAGUCUCAGCAAUGGCUUGUCUCGACAAUAAUUCAUGUAUCGUCUUUUUCACUCCCCAACAAAUCUUACACUUCCGCUUGACCUGCUUACCAUUGGGAUCUUGAUCCAAUAAGAUUGGGAAGACGAGCAUUCGAUUGAAGAGUGGUUCAGCACCCGUGAUGCAUCUAGAACCCUCCAACCGAAGAGUGGUUCAGCACCUUCGACUGAUCACACCGGGCACCACCAGACCCCUAUUGCUGCAAACGCCUUCUUUGACCCAAGCACCGGUGUCCCCACUCGCCCGCAAGAACGUACUCCCCCGUUGCGCACUCCCAUAGGUCACUCGAGACCGAUAGGAAACUCGCCAGAAAAAUAAACAGGACGGAGUCUUC
rnacentral:lncRNA from 1 species